AAGUGUUGCAGCUCUUUUAGAAUUGGUCUAGCAGGUCUUCUGGGUUUUUAGCUAGAAACCCUC
ensembl:snRNA U7 U7 small nuclear RNA